rnacentral:rRNA from 1 species
UACGUAGGGAGCGAGCGUUGUCCGGAAUCAUUGGGCGUAAAGCGCGCGUAGGUGGUCUUGUAAGUCCGCUGUGAAAGUCAAAGGCUCAACCUUUGAAAGCCGGUGGAAACUGGGGGACUUGAGUACAGAAGAGAAGAGUGGAAUUCCUGGUGUAGCGGUGAAAUGCGCAGAUAUCAGGAAGAACACCCGUGGCUAAGGCGGCUCUCUAGUACGGUACUGACGCUGAGACGCGAAAGCGUGGGGAGCGAACAGG